rnacentral:rRNA from 1 species
AUUGAACGCUGGCGGCAGGCCUAACACAUGCAAGUCGAACGAGUGGCGGACGGGUGAGUAAUGUCUGGGAAACUGCCCGAUGGAGGGGGAUAACUACUGGAAACGGUCGCUAAUACCGCAUACCAUCGGAUGUGCCCAGAUGGGAUUAGCUAGUAGGUGGGGUAACGGCUCACCUAGGCGACGAUCCCUAGCUGGUCUGAGAGGAUGACCAGCCACACUGGAACGGUGACACGGUCCAGCCUCGUACGGGAGGCAGCAGUGGGGAAUAUUGCACAAUGGGCGCAAUCCUGAUGCAGCCAUGCCGCGUGUAGGAAGAAGGCCUUCGGGUUGUAAAGUACUUUCAGCGAGGAGGCGUUACUCGCAGAAGAAGCACCGGCUAACUCCGUGCCAGCCGCCGCGGUAAUAC